rnacentral:tRNA from 1 species
AAUUAAUGAGCUUGUAUAAGCAUAUGUUUUGAAAACAUAAUAAAGAAAUUUAAAUUUUCUAUUAAUUU